rnacentral:misc_RNA from 1 species
AACGCACAUUGCGCCCGCCGGUAACCCGGCGGGCACACCUGUCCGAGCGUCAUAUAACCACUCUCCCCCCAGGAGGUGUUGGGGACCGCUUUAAGCGCCCCCUAAUUCCAUCGGCGGGACAAUUAGGCCCUAGGCGAAGUAAAAUAAAAUCUAGCCCAGUAAAGCCUAUGCGACCCUGCUACUUCCUACCACACAAAAACGGUUGACCUCGGAUCAGGUGGGAAUACCCGCUGAACUUAA